rnacentral:rRNA from 1 species
AGUGAACGCUGGCGGUAGGCCUAACACAUGCAAGUCGAACGGCAGCACAGUAAGAGCUUGCUCUUACGGGUGGCGAGUGGCGGACGGGUGAGGAAUACAUCGGAAUCUACUUUUUCGUGGGGGAUAACGUAGGGAAACUUACGCUAAUACCGCAUACGACCUACGGGUGAAAGCAGGGGAUCUUCGGACCUUGCGCGAUUGAAUGAGCCGAUGUCGGAUUAGCUAGUUGGCGGGGUAAAGGCCCACCAAGGCGACGAUCCGUAGCUGGUCUGAGAGGAUGAUCAGCCACCCUGGAAGUGAGCCACGGUCCAGACUCCUACGGGAGGCAGAAGGGGGGAAGGUUGAGAAAUGGGCGCAAGCCUGCACCAGCCAUACCGCGGGGGUGAAGAAGGCCUUCGGGUUGUAAACCCCUUUUGUUGGGAAAGAAAAGCAGCAGGUUAAAACCCCGCUGUUCUGACGGUACCCAAAAAAUAAGCACCGGCUAACUUCGU